UGGGGAAUCUUCCGCAAUGGGCGAAAGCCUGACGGAGCAACGCCGCGUGAACGAAGAAGGCCUUCGGGUUGUAAAGUUCUGUCAUCAGGGAAGAAGAAAGUGACGGUACCUGGGGAGGAAGCCCCGGCUAACUACGUGCCAGCAGCCGCGGUAAAACGUAGGGGGCGAGCGUUGUCCGGAAUUACUGGGCGUAAAGGGCGUGUAGGCGGUCUAAUAAGUCUCGAGGUGAAAACUUACGGCUCAACCGUAAGCGUGCCUGAGAAACUGUUGGACUUGAGGGCAGGAGAGGGGAGUGGAAUUCCCAGUGUAGCGGUGAAAUGCGUAGAUAUUGGGAGGAACACCGGUGGCGAAGGCGGCUCUCUGGCCUGUUACUGACGCUGAGGCGCGAAAGCGUGGGGAGCGAACGGG
rnacentral:rRNA from 1 species